rnacentral:rRNA from 1 species
GCUAGCGGCAGGCCUAACACAUGCAAGUCGAGGGGUAACAGAGAAGCUUGCUUCUGCUGACGACCGGCGCACGGGUGCGUAACGCGUAUGCAACCUACCUUAUACAGGAGAAUACCCCUUGGAAACGAGGAAUAAUGCUCCAUAGUAUCAUCACUUCGCAUGUUGAGAUGAUUAAAGAAUUUCGGUAUAAGAUGGGCAUGCGUCCCAUUAGCUUGUUGGUGAGGUAACGGCUCACCAAGGCUACGAUGGGUAGGGGGCCUGAGAGGGUGGUCCCCCACACUGGUACUGAGACACGGACCAGACUCCUACGGGAGGCAGCAGUGAGGAAUAUUGGUCAAUGGAGGCA